CGGAGCUUUCGCAAGCAAGAAAAAAAAUCACAAUUGGUUUUAUUGUUGCUGAGCAGCGGAGUCAACAGGUGUUCCUGGUCACCCUGCAAAACCACAGGGAAAAUAUCUGCAUGCCACUGAAAUGAAGGAACUCCAAACCAAACUCUGUGAAGAUAAUCCCAUCUUUUGCUUUUGUU
rnacentral:lncRNA from 12 species